GGCUGAUUUCGUAAGUCCUGAUGUCUUGAGGGAAUGAGAAGAACAGAGGCCGAGCUAUUGGAGUCCCUUUAGUGUGUGCCUCAUACAUCAGUGUGUAGAAGUAAGGAAGUAAUUGGUAUCGGAGACCAAGCACCUUCUUAGCUGUUGCUGCAACAGAAUCCCAUAGAUAAAGCUCUUGACGCUUUUUGUCUUUUGCUGAAUGGUCUCUUGCAAAGGGGUAAAAUGCACCUAGCUGAAUCCAACGACGACAGAGCUCUUCAGUCGUGUCCCCAGAAAAGCCACAUAUGUCAGCACCAACCAUUGGAAUUCCAAACAAUCCAAAAUUCAG
rnacentral:misc_RNA from 1 species